AAAAAAAAGUUAGCUGGGCGUGGUGCCGCGUGCCUGUAAUCCCAGCUCCUCGGGAGACUGAGGCAGGAGAAUCGCUUGAACCCAGGAGGCAGAGGUUGCCACAAGCUGAGAUUGUACCACUGCACUCCAGCUUGGGCAGCAGAGCGAGACUUCAUCUCAAAAAAAAAAAAAAAAAAAAAGACAAGGGAAGAGAGUUUCACAUGGCACAGUUGAAGACACAGGUGGGAGCAAAAUACUAUUUCUUAUUUGUUCUCUAGUUUACGUCUUUCGGUAAACUGGCUACACUGGUUUGAUUGGAUAUUUUUUCCCCUACAACCAAGAGUUGUGACGAAAAUAUUCAAUCCACCCAUUCCUGUGCAGAUGAAAAAUUUUAUCCUUUAAAAUCACAAUGUUGUGUAUUUGGAUUGUAUUGCUCUGGUUCCUCACAGAAUUUUUUUAAAAAAUAUCAGACCACAUUGGCAUUAUGCCACUAGUCUAUACUGAAAAUGUAUUCGAGGCCAGGCACAGUGGCUCAUGCCUGUAAUCCCAGCUCCUUGGGAGGCUGAAGCAGGUGGAUCGCUUGAGCUCAGCAGUUUGAGAUGAGCCUGGGCAACAUGGCAAAACCCCAUCUCUACAAAAAAAUACAAAAAUUAGCUGGUCAUGGUGGUGCGCACUUGUAGUCCCAGCUACUGGGGAGGCUGAGGUGGGAGAAUCGCGUAAGCCCUAGAGAUGGAGGUUGCAGUGAGCUGGAGGUUGCAGUGAGCUGAGAUCACACCACUGCACUCCAGCCUGGACAAUAGAGCAACACUAUCUCAAAAAAAAAAAUUAGAAACAGCUGUAUAAAAUAUUUAUAUAGGUGUGUCAUUGGAGCCCUAGAAGAGAAUGUUUUUCUUAAGUGUUAGCCUGAGGAGUAGCUGGGCUUCUGAACAAUUGGUUUGUAUAUGGAAUUAUAUCAUUAUAAAGACAUUUUUUUUUUUGUCUGCCUAGCUCUUUUCCUUUCUGAAGCUGCCCCUGAAUAAUGAUGCUUUCCUGGUGCGACUGUUAAUCACAUAGAUUUAAUUCCCCUGCCCAUGGGAGGGGAAUUGGCUAGCCAGUCAGAAUGCCUCAUUCCUUUGUUCAUAUUCAUUGGUCCAGAGCUGGGAACACAACACAAACAGGGCUGUUCAGAAUCCUACGAAAGACUUUUCCUGGAGCUGUCAGGAAAGAGACACUCUUUUUGCUAGGGUUACUGGUCAUGAGGACCAUGUAAGUCUAGAGCUUUCGUAGCCAUUUUUACCACCAAGUGGGAAGAGCCUACUUGAGAACGAAACCAACACAGUUGCAAACGUCCUAAGGAUGUUGUUUGAGACUCUGAACCCAUCUGCGCCUAAAGCUAGAUCAUUCAUGGACUUUUCUAUUAAAUUAGCCAAUACAUUUUCUUUUUCAUUUUUUUGUUUAUACCAGUUUGAUUUGGAUCUCUGUCCCUUGCAACCAAAAGAAGCCUCACUGAUAUAGUCUCUGAUUAAGUUUCCCUCCUUUCAUUGGUACAUAGGAAGGAAGCUCAGAGUCAAAAUUGCAGCCCACAUGUAGCAAGUGGACAGGAUCCUAUUGAAUGAAUUUUGUAUAAUGGGCUUGUCCCUCGUUUUAUCUUCUUUUUUCUAUUCUUUUUUUCUUCACUCACAUUGUAUCUUGUUAUAUUUUACAUGUUUUUCUAAGCCACUACAAAUUCUUUUUACAAUAUGACAAUAAAUAGUAGAGAUUGUUUCCCACAUUGUCCUGAAUCUGGACUACAAUAAAACUAAAGGUUUAUUUCUAACGUACAUCAUUGGUUUCCUGUCCAGACUUCAUCUCUCCCUUCUCUUCCAACCCUGGUUUUGUCCUAGAAAUCACUCUUCUUCCAUGUAGCCCAUGUGCUUUAGGGAAGGCUGACCUUACCACAGCUUCAGGAUGGGCCUGAUUAAUCCAAGAGUAACCUCAUCCUUGUAAGGAAUUGAUUCAGGAAUUUACACCACUGAGAUACCAGGAGAAGUUUGCUGGUGGAUUCUACUUCUGGGAGACCUACUGAAAAUGACCUUUUCCGUCUUUUACUAUAUGUUAUGGUGUGUGGGUGUGAGUCCUGAAACUGUUGCAGCCAUCUCACCCACCUAUUUGAGGAUUACGCUGAUGGCGAAAGAGAACAAAACAAAGAAUGAGAGGAAGUUGGAGCAGAGCCACUAGAGUCAAAAGAAACAGAAUCUCCUUCUCCUGGAUACAUGAUACAACACAGUUGUCUCUCAUGUCAGAAGUCAUGAUUACGAGAAUAGCACACUUUAGCCCAUAUCCUUGUACCCAGCACUGUACUCGAUGCUCUGUGGAUGCAACCUCAAUGGUAAAAUAAUUUAAGCUCAAAGUAAGAUAUUCUUUCAAUAAGAUGUAGACCUCUUACUGCAAACUCCUUUUGCAAAUUACCACUUGGUAAUCUCUCUCAAAUAUGUCCCAAAACAACAAGUUAAAAAAAAAAACUAGCUGAAAAGCUAAGUGCUAAUAAAAGCACUCUCAAAAUUUCUACUUAUAUGUCUGAACAUAUAUAAACACACAGAGAAAUACAUAUUUUACAGUGCUAAUAUUUUAAGUGCUAAUAAAAGCACUCUGAAAAUUUCUACUUGUAUGUCUGAACAUAUAUAAACACACAGAGAAAUACAUAUUUUACACUCUUGGCAGUAGGCUUAAAGAUAUUUGUUCAGCAAAUUUUCUUGGGCCCACUAAUUUGGCCAUUCUCAUGUUCUCAAUUCACAAAACUAUCUAUAAUAAUAGUCCAAAUAUAAAUUAUAAGAAUGAAUUUGUUAUUAUGCACUUAAAUAAGUUCAU
rnacentral:lncRNA from 1 species